GUUUUGAGCAUUUGAAACCUUCUCGUUGACUGUCAACAAAUGAAUAGAAAAUUACAAAAUUAUUAACAAAUGUAGGGUACGAAGGUAUUUAAUUAAUUGACAUUAAUUUUGCUCAGUCGGAAAAAAUCCUAAUCCAUUAAAACUUCUCUAAUACAAAAUUUCACGCGUUCUAAACUAAAAAGAAUUCAAAUGAAUUCAUGUCCACAACGUUGACGAAACAUUUUAGUAUUAUUUGGAUUUGUCACAUUUUCGAAUUACGCUGACGCCGUUUAAACGCAGUUUUACUCGUAUGAAACGUCAAAAUUCGAAGUAGUCGAACGCUUUACAUUUCCUGCUGUAGGCUUAAUUUCUACCAGGAGGUUUGGAUAUAUAGCCCCAUUUUCCAGUCAGAGCUGCUGUAGCUACUUGAGUAUUACAUACAAGUAUAUUUGUGGCAUGCAACACGAACUCGCUCUUUGAUGUC